rnacentral:rRNA from 1 species
AGUGAACGCUGGCGGUAGGCCUAACACAUGCAAGUCGAACGGCAGCACAGUAAGAGCUUGCUCUUACGGGUGGCGAGUGGCGGACGGGUGAGGAAUACAUCGGAAUCUACUUUUUCGUGGGGGAUAACGUAGGGAAACUUACGCUAAUACCGCAUACGACCUACGGGUGAAAGCAGGGGAUCUUCGGACCUUGCGCGAUUGAAUGAGCCGAUGUCGGAUUAGCUAGUUGGCGGGGUAAAGGCCCACCAAGGCGACGAUCCGUAGCUGGUCUGAGAGGAUGAUCAGCCACACUGGAACUGAGACACGGUCCAGUCUCCUACGGGAGGCAGCAGUGGGGAAUAUUGGACAAUGGGCGCAGGCCUGAUCCAGCCAUACCGCGUGGGUGAAGAAGGCCUUCGGGUUGUAAAGCCCUUUUGUUGGGAAAGAAAAGCAGCAGGUUAAUACCCCGCUGUUCUGACGGUACCCAAAGAAUAAGCACCGGCUAACUUCGUG